rnacentral:rRNA from 1 species
UACGUAGGUGGCAAGCGUUGUCCGGAUUUACUGGGCGUAAAGAGCGCGCAGGCGGUCGUACAAGUCGCGUGUGAAAGCCCCCGGCUCAACUGGGGAGGGUCACGCGAUACUGAUCGACUCGAAGGCAGGAGAGGGUAGUGGAAUUCCCGGUGUAGUGGUGAAAUGCGUAGAUAUCGGGAGGAACACCAGUGGCGAAGGCGACUACCUGGCCUGUUUCUUGACGCUGAGGCGCGAAAGCUAGGGGAGCAAACGGG